GUGAGGAAUAUUGGUCAAUGGGCGAGAGCCUGAACCAGCCAAGUCGCGUGAAGGAAGAAGGAUCUAUGGUUCGUAAACUUCUUUUGCAGGGGAAUAAAGUGCAGGACGUGUCCUGUUUUGUAUGUACCCUGAGAAUAAGGAUCGGCUAACUCCGUGCCAGCAGCCGCGGUAAUACGGAGGAUCCGAGCGUUAUCCGGAUUUAUUGGGUUUAAAGGGUGCGUAGGUGGUUUGAUAAGUCAGCGGUGAAAGUUUGCAGCUUAACUGUAAAAAUGCCGUUGAAACUGUCGGACUUGAGUGUAAAUGAGGUAGGCGGAAUGCGUGGUGUAGCGGUGAAAUGCAUAGAUAUCACGCAGAACUCCGACUGCGAAGGCAGCUUACUAAGCUACAACUGACACUGAAGCACGAAAGCGUGGGGAUCAAACAGGAUUAGAAACCCGUGUAGUCC
rnacentral:rRNA from 1 species